UUCUGGUUCUGUGGGAAAGCGAAAAACGGCGUAACGGUACUGCGGUGAAAUGCGUGACAUUUGAAGGCUUAGUUAGUCGUUGGAAAGCCGUCGUUUUAUCAGAUCUUCUAAGAACUCACUGCACACCAUGUGGAUACCAAGUUUCAGGAGGAAUUGUGGCGACCAGGAGGCAGCACACGGACAGUACACAGAGAACAGAGACAGAGCACAGAGCACGGGAUAAGGGAGAAGACACGGAACAGGAGUCGGGAUCGCACUGGGGAUUUAUUGUUGUUUGGAUUUUCACCACUGUAAAUAAACACACUGCC
ensembl:lncRNA